CCCUGCCUCCCCCGGCGUGCCGCCACCCCCUCCUCCUCUGGUGCGCCGCUGCCCCCGCAUCAUCCAGCACGAGGCCACCCCCUCCUCCUCCGGCGCGCCACGGCCCCUGCCUCCAGCGCUCAGAUCUGCGGGAUCCGGCGAUUUCUCACGGCGGUGCUGCUCCGGUGAGCCUCCGUCCCCAAGCGCGACGCAGAAAACGGCCUCCUCCCUAUCGUUCCUCCUCCAUCCCCCGAGAACAGCGCAUCCGCGAUGGCCUCCUCUCUCCCGUCCCCUUCUCUGCGCUGGUAGGCGUUUGUGAAGUUCGACAUGGCCAGCCGCGUGAGUUUGAUUCCGCUGCGCCCUGUGCCCCUACCCUGCCUCCACCCACCAGAGCAGGCCAAGCUCCGAGCCACCACCUGCGCACGGAUGCCGCCGUGACCCUCCUGCCCCAAUCCCACCGGGCGGCGCCACCAGCAACCCCUCCCCAACAACAUGUCAGAUCCAGCGCCGGUGUCAGGCACCCCUCUUCCUUCACGUCCACCUGCUCCGAUGGCUCGCCCCUACCCACCCCGGGCUUCGGCUUCCGAUGAAGCCCCGACCAUGUUGUUGGUGGCAGAUGCUCCAGCGGCAGGCUCACUCCCCAUGGUGUGAUUGAACUUCAGUGCAGGGGGAGUAGAACCGCUGGAGAUGCUCGUGUCAAUUCCUUCCAGCGACCUUUGUCCACACCUCGUCACUGGCGUGAGGUAUAUAUAUAUUCAGCGUCAGAUUUAAAAAGUUCAGCUUCGCCCCUGGUUGAAGUUCAUUUGUCACUGAAGCUUAUGUUGUUCAUGACCGCGUGGCUGUAGAACAUCCAUGCAUGUCGAGUAAUUUUCUCAUGCCAGUUCAUUUACAAUAGCAGCUCCAGUGUGGCAGUAGGCGAUGGUGAAAACUGAAGUCUGAAACGAGUGUUGCUGGGUACAUCUGGCAGCAUAUAUUCUGAAGUUUGUUGGUGAAAAACAAAUGCUAGAACAUCAGUUGGUGUCAUUGGGGUCGUGCCGGCAAGCAGCAUUCUCCCCUGGGUGUACUCUCUCUGGCUCUUUCUCUUUGCAAUUCUAAUCUAUUUGUAGAUUCUAUCUCACAUACCUGACCAUAGUAGCAGACUAGUAGUGUUGUAUGGUCAGCUGCGUAAGGGAGUUUGUGGAGUGCACUACUAUGUCUAGUUGAACUCACAUUGAUUACUUUUAUAAGUCUAAACUACUUUUGGAAAUUUGAGUGUGGUGUUCCUUCAGGAAGCCAUUUUCCUUUUAGAAGGAGCUACAUUCCGUGA